GAAGAAUACUAUGUUGAAGAAAGCAGAUCUGCCAGGCUUAGAAAGUCAGGCAAAGAGCACAUCGAUCAUAUUAAGAAGGCAUUUUCCAAAGAAAACAUGCAGAAGACGCGGCAGAAUUUUGAUAAGAAAUAGGAACGACUGUCACUAAGGAAAUAGAUGAUGACAGAUGCUGGUGAGGAUGCGGAGGGCGGAGAAGACGACGUUCCCAUACACUGUCAAUGGCAGAGUACAUGCUACUCUGGAGGUAGGUGUGGGGGUUUCUCCAAGAGAAGAGAACUCUCACGUGAUGCAGAUAAGUCACUCCUGUGCAUGUGCCCAAAGGGAUUGUCUUGGUCACUGUUCUAUGGCUGUGAAGAGACGCCAUGACCAAGGUAACUAUCGUAAGAGAAACGUUUAGCUGGGGGCUUCCUUAGAGUUUCCUUAGUCCACCAUCAUGGUAGGGAGCACGGUAGUAGGCAGGCCUGGUGCUGGAGAAAUAGCUGAGAGCUCUGUCCUGAUCUCCAAACAGAGAGACUCUGGCCUUGUCAUGGGCUUUUGAAAUCUCCAAACUCAGCUCCAGGGACACAGUUCAUCCAACAAACCCACACCUCCUAGUCUUUCUAGUCCUUUCAAAUCAUUCUACUCCCUGGUGACCAAGCAUUCACAUAGCCUAUGGGGGCUGUUCUUAUUCAAACACCGUAGGAAUCAAAAGCAGCAUAUAUUCAAGAUUACCGAAUACGUUUAUGUUGGCACUGUUGACAAAGGUUAAGCUAUUGAAUCAUCAAGGCCUCAACCAAUAGCUACAUCGAUAAGGAAAAUGUGGACUAACAAUGGAGCAUGUUACAGUUGUCAAGGAAAACGAAGUCACGUUGUUUCAGGAAAGUGGGUGGAACUGAAGGUCGUCAUGCUGAGCAAAAUAAGAAAGGCAAAGAUCACUUUCAUGUGAACAAUAUAGAUUAAAUGAUGUGUGUGUGUGUGCAUGUAUGUAUGUAUGUCUCUCUGUGUGUGUAUGUAUGUGUGUGUUUGUGUGUGUGUCUGUGUAUAUGCAUGUGUGUGUCUCUGUGUGUUGUGUGUGCAUGUAUGUAUGUAUGUCUCUCUGUGUGUGUAUGUAUGUGUGUGUGUUUGUGUGUGUGUCUGUGUGUAUGCAUGUGUGUCUCUGUGUGUGUCUGUGUGUGUGUCUGUGUGUCUGUGUAUGUGUAUGUGUAUAUGUGUGCAUGUGUGUAUGUAUGUAUGUGCAUAUGUAUGUGUGUGUGUUUCUGUGUGUGUGUCUCUGUGUGUGUGUCUCUCUGUGUGUAUGUGUGUAUGUGUGUCUCUCUGUGUCUGUGUGUGUGUCUGUGUGUGUGUGUCUGUGGUCUGUGUGUCUAUGUGUCUGUGUGUGUGUCUCUGUGUGUGUGUGUGCAUGUAUGUAUGUCUCUCUGUGUGUGUAUGUAUGUGUGUGUGUUUCUGUCUGUGUGUGUCUGUGUGUAUGCAUGUUUGUGUCUCUGUGUUUGUGUCUGUGUGUAUGUGUAUAUGUGUGUAUGUGUGUAUGGAUGUGUAUAUGUAUGUGUGUGUUUCUGUGUGUGUGUUUGUGUCUGUGUGUGUGUCUCUCUCUGUGUGUGUAUGUGUGUAUGUGUGUCUGUGUGUGUCUCUGUGUGUGUGUCUCUGUGUGUGUGUCUCUGUGUGUGUCUGUGUGUCUGUGUCUCUGUGUGUGUGUGUCUCUGUCUCUGUCUCUCUCUGUCUCUCUCUCUCUGUCUCUCUCUGUCUCUCUCUGUCUCUCUCUCUCUCUCUCUGUAUGUGUGUCUGUGUGUGUCUCUGUGUGUGUGUCUCUGUGUGUGUGUCUCUGUGUGUGUCUGUGUGUCUGUGUCUCUGUGUGUGUGUGUCUCUGUCUCUGUCUCUGUCUCUCUCUGUCUCUCUCUCUCUGUCUCUCUCUCUCUGUCUCUCUCUCUCUCUCUCUCUCUCUCUCUCUCUCUCUCUCUCUCUGUGUUGUGUUGGAAGUGAGAAGAGGACCUGGAAGAAUUAGUAAGAAGACAAGAAGGAUAAUGGGAGUGAAUACAUAGUAUACACGUGUGAAAAUGCCCCAGCAGACUCUCAAUUUGUACACUUAUUCCUCAAGGUUCAUCAAGGGGCUUGUAGGUAGCUCAUUUGAUGCAGUGCGUGAUGUGAAAGCACUAAGACCCGUGUUUAAUCCCCAGCACUCAGCUAAAAGCGGGGCAUGGUUGUUCACACGUGUAAUCCCAGUACUGAGGUGGUAGAGACAGGCAAAAUGCCUGGGGCUGGCUCUCCGUGCAACCAGUUGAUGCUGUGAGGGGAGGUUCCAGAGGGAAAUCCUGUCUCAACAGAGUAAGGAGAUGGACUCUGAGGAAUGAGAAUAGAGGUGGUCUCUGGCUUCCCAUAUCUUCAAAUCUACCCUGCCAUUGCUUGCUUCCCUGUGCCUUCCGGAUAGCUUGUUUUCUGGACCGUUGUUACUAUACUAAAUGUUGUCAGUAGAGGGCGCUAGAGAGACAGCAGCUACAAAGGACUUCCCAGUUGUGAUGCAAGGCUCCGUGCCAGCUCCAGCAAUGCCCUUCUCCUUGGGGUAUAUUCUUGAGCACCGGGCUCCUAAGCCAUCUGCUGUGCACUGUGGCCGACAGCGCCCUGUGGCACCAUGUGCAGGCAGUUUUAUAGCAGAAUGCUUCCAGAGAGUUACCUCCUUUUAAGUGGCUUUCCCUGGUGCCCUGGACGUUUUACUGAGGGUUCUCAGCACAGGAUUUGGGCUUGGGGGCAGAAGGCUCCCCCUCAAUGGCAGAUGUCCCUUGUAUCUGCCUGUUUUAGUUAGGGUCUUAUUGCUGUGAACAGACACCAUGACCAAUGUAAGUUUUAUAAAGGACAACAUUUAAUUGGGGCUGACUUACAGGUUCAGAGUUCAGUCCAUUAUCAUUAAGGCAGGAGCAUCGCAGCAUUCAGGCAGGCCUGGUGCAGGAGGAGCUGAGUUCUACAUCUUCACCUGAAGGAAACCAGGAACAGACUGAGCAUCCUCAGGCAGCUAGGAGGAGGGUCUCCAAGCCCACCCCCACAGUGACACACUUCCUCCAACAAGGCCACACCUUCUAAUGGUGCCACUCCCUGGGCCAAGCAUAUGCAAACCAUCACACUGCCUAUGUUUUUCUUUUUCUUUGUCUGCUUUUCCUCAUGGCUGUGGCUGGAUUCUUCACUGUGCCAAUCCUGCCCGUUAGUGAUCACUGGAUCCCAAACCUUCCCAGAUAAACUUGUUGCAGAGGAUUGGACUCUUGAGUAGAUCCUGAGAUCCCAGCUAUGCACACUGGGACCUGUUCUGAAAUGCGAUCAUGACUCUGUCUUUCCUCCUUAGGACCGAUUUUACAGGUUUGCUAUACUCACAGUGUGAAGAGAAGCCCUGGUGUUCGCUUUAACAUCUGACCCCCUCUAGUCUCCUGGCCUCUCCUUUCACCUCACAGUCUCUUUCCUUCUUCCUUCCCUGGCAGUUUCAGACACCAUUCUCUCUGGAAUCCUCUUUUCUCCUUCCCUCCCUCCCUCUGCCCUCCCUUCCUUUCUUUCUUAUUCACUUGUUUGUUUAUGAGAUCUCAUUCUGUAGCCAGGAUGGCUUGAAUUUCACUGUAUAGGCCAGAAUUGUUUCAACUCACAGCAAUCCUCCUGCCUCAGAUUUCCAAGGGCUGAGAGGUUCCCAGCAUGAGGCACCACACCCUUAUCUUUCUUCUCCUUUCCUCCCGCACUCCUCACUCACAUCAGGCAGGCUUUAUUUUAACCAUCUUUCCCUCAGAGAAGCAGUUUCUACCUUCUGACGGUUGAAUCACCUUUACUCACUUUCAGAGCAUGAUACGGCUCCUUCUGACCUUUUCAUUGGCAUAACUUUAUAUAUGUUCCUACAAUCUUUUGGAUUGAUACCCACCCCUGCCUUUAUGAAUUAUAAACUAACUGAGGCAAGGGACUGCGAUUUCUUGACCCUGCAGGCUGCAGGGUCUAACACCUGUUACAAAGCCCAACCCUUGCUCCUCUGGUCCCGGUCCCCUGUGAUUCCCCUGUCCAUCCUCUGUUUUGCCACAAGAUGGCAGGCUGGGCCACAGUGUCACUUGGUCUCCUUAGAGGAAAAAAAAACCUAGGGGGUUUAGGUUUAAAUGCCUUGAGCCAUUAGAGGAUCCCUUUGAAGUACAUGAAUCCAAUGUCACAAAUUUCUCUGGAAAUGGCAACUUCAUCCUCCACUUCUUCCCUGACUGAGGAACAGUUAGGAAUACUAACAAGUAGGACAAAGGGAAAGACUCCCUGGGGAACCCGACGGGUAUUGCAUAAUUUAGAGAUGGGCUUUAGGGAGCACAUGAGAACUCAGUUAUGGUUUGCCGGGGAACCAGAAUAAAGGCUGUAUCAUGGCCGCUCCUCAGGCUUUUUGCUCAGAGUAAAUUCUGGAGGGACAGUGCAGUAAGGGGGCCAGGCCCAAAUCCGGGGCCUGCCUGUCUUUGUAAACAAAUUUUAACUGGGGCAUGACUGAGAUCACAGGGUCUUCAAAGCCAGGACUACUUUCUGUUACAAAGUUGGGGAUUCUCUGGUCCAGGCCAAUAAACAAAGACUGUUUAGAAGCCUUAUAUCUGGUUAGUGGUCAGCUGGGGUUAAGAGGUGACUUCUUCCUGAGGAGCACACAUGCUUGGUGGGGUGUUACAGAUUGCUGAGGGCUCUUAGAGAUAGAAAUCAGAGUUAUUUUCAGGAAUUGUGUACUUGGUGUGCUGUAUAAUUUCAGUGUUUCCUCUCUCUCCUCCCCUCUCCUCCCUUCCCCUCCCCUUCUUUUUCCCUCCCUCCCUCCCUCCCUUCUUCCCUCCCUUCCUCUCUCCUUUCCUCCCUUCUUUCUUUCCUUUAUGGGACAGGGCUUUUCUGUGUAGCCCUGGCUGUCCUGGAACUCACUGUGUAGACCGUUCUGACCUCGAAUUCAGAGAUGCGUCUUCCGCCUCUCCUGGGAUUAAAGGGGGGAGCUGCUUGGCAGCCUGGCUUCCUGUCAGCUUUUACGGGAAGAACAAAGCAGAUACAUGCGAACUCCUUGUACUUUCUUAGCACGCUUUCCCAGAGCAGGGCUGUUAGACUAAUUACUUCAUUUAUCAAGAUGGAAACCAAAGGCCCAGUAGCUAUUUACCUUUCAUUCAAGAAUAUUCUUGGCAUGUCUGGUGCAGUCUAAUUAAGGGCGUGAAGCUCAGGCUUGGCUCAGUCAGGGCUGUGUUAACUCCCUUCUCAAGGUUUAUAUGAUCAAAUACAGCCCACACAGAUCAUCUUCCUGCCAAACCUUUUUUUUUCUUUUUCUUUUUUUUCCCGGAGCUGGGGACCGAACCCAGGGCCUUGCGCUUCCUAGGCAAGCGCUCUACCACUGAGCUAAAUCCCCAACCCCCUUCCUGCCAAACCUUUUGAGCAGAGAGAGAGUGGCUAUUUCUUAGCUUUCUACAGUUUUUACACUUAUGAAACCAGAAAAGCAAGAAACAAGUUAACAGUUUUAGAGCUCACAAGGAGUGUAGCUAGGGCCUGUUAGAUUCCUCUUAUUUAGGUCCAUGUUGGUUAUAUACUUGUGGGAACGUCUGUGCCAGGGAGAGAAUUCCAAUUCCCAGAGUAUUGGUUUAAAACAAACAAACAAACACCUAAAAUAACCCAGGUAGGUUGUCUCUCUUCCUCUUAAUAACAAUUUUUUUGUAGGAAAGUUACAUAAAAUAUUUUUAUUAUAUAUAUUUAGUAUGUGAAUGUAUACACACACUUGCUGGCCUUUUAGAUAUGCAUAUUUUAUUUCAAAGUAAUUUUAGAAUAGCACAAUUUUGUUUAAUGAAGGGAAGAGGGCAUGGGGCAGUAUGAAGAGACAUAUUAUUGGUUGUAUCUUCUUUUUUUUUUUUAAAGAUUUAUUUAUUUUUAUUUAUAUGAGUACACAGUACCUGCCUUCAGACACACUAGAGGAGGGCAUCAGAUCCCAUUACAGAUGGCUGUGAGUCAACCAUGUGGUUGGUGGGAAUUGAACUCAGGAUCUUUGGAAGAGCAGUCAGUGCUCUUAACCGCUGACCCAUCUCUCCAGCCCUUGUAUCUUCUUAAAUUGUCCUUCAGACUAUCGUAGUUGAAUUUAUUAUGAACCUACUAUUUUAUAGCCAGUGUGUCGGCUCAUGCCUACAAUCUAUCACUUAGGAGUCUAAGGCAAGAGGAUCACGAGUUUGAGGCUAGCCUUGACUAACCUCCAAGACUCUCUUUCCCAAAACGGAAGACAGACAGUGAGAUAGCACAAUGGGUAAAAGCUCUUGCCUCAUAAGCCAGGAGACACAAGUCUGCAUAAGUCUGGCAACAGGUGGAAGCGUUGAUCUGCAGAACCCAGGCAGGAGAGAGCCAGCUCCACAAAGUUGUCCUAUGAUCUUGUCUGCAUGAGCGCCCGCUGAAGCAGUAACUCAGGUGGAAGACCUGAGUUCCACAGCAACAAGCAGGUGGCGGUGUCUAAUGGUGCGGUGGAGGCCUAGAAGACAUGGUGAUCCAAUUCAGGUGGUGGGCGCUGCAGCGGUGGUGGAUGUAAUGGCAGGAUGCAUGGCAUCGAUCGGGUGGUGCGCAUGGACGUGACAUGCAUCUCCAUCCCUCCUUGCCAUAGCCCCACUGUUGUCCCGUGAGCUCUUGGCCCCUGGUGAGCGACUGUGCCCCGGGUCGGGCAGAGGAGGCACUCGGUGGGAAGGGCCUAUCCUCCACCCCUCGUAAUCCUUCUAAUCCUUUCUAAUGGUGCCAUUCCCUGGUGACCAAGUGAUCAUUUAAACUCAGAGAGCAAGCUGACUGGAGAAACCUUGUUGGACUCAAGUGUGUUUAAGUGCUCAGUUAACUUGUGGAAGGAUCAUCCUCUGCUGUAUUUAGGAAGCAAGAACAUCUUAGUGGCCAUGAGAAGGAGGAGAGAGAUCCAGUUGGAUGGUCGGUCUUGGCCAUCACACCCGGAGCCUCGCUGCUCUCUGGGUAAUGAGCGGCUUCCUAAAUUUCACUUACUGCAUCCAUUCUGCCAUUUGAUGUUGUUGGGACGGCUUUCUUGUAGCUGCUGAUGAGGUGGUCUCUGACCAGUUUCUGUAACUCUUCCAGUGACCAUGGUAGGCAGAAGGUCCAGGGAGCCUUGAAGCUGUGUGAGUCCUGCUGUGUUUCCUAAAGUGAGCGGUGGUGGGUUCUGCUGAACUGGGGUUGCCUUUCUCUCAGGGUCUUCUAGUUUAGUUUGGAAUGAUAUGAACUAUCAAGAGAAUUCAUGAUUUUACAUUAAGUACAGUAUCAAAUGAUAUCGAAGUAUUGUAAAGCUCUAUGUUGUCCAUCAAAAAAACAGUACAUUGUUUUUGUGAUCAGCUGUCAGGUGACCCCAGGGAUCACCUAUAGUUUACUUUCUGAUUUUUGGUCAAAGUGGUGGACACAUAGUUGAGGUCAUUUCUAAUCACGAUGAAUCCUGAUUGAGACUGAAGGGAAAGGUUUCUCUUAACUUUUUAUAUACUAGUAAGAGAACAUGGAAAUUAUUUUCAAAUUCCAGAGAAAUGGAAUUAUUUUCAAAGAAAAAGUAGUAUCUGUAGGCUGGGCUGCCUCCGAGGACCAUGUCUGGGUCCCUGGGCCCACUGUUGCUGAGGGCUGUGUCGAUGUCUGUAACCUGUGUUACCACAAAAGGUUAUGUGGCUGUGCGGGGUCUGUACUGCCACCUGAAGCCAUCUUGUGCCCGUGGACCGAGCUGCCUCCAGGGGCCAUGAUGAUGUGAGCGGCCUGUGCUGUCACUGAGGGCUAUUAUGGAUUCUGAGGCCCGUGCUGUGGCAGAAACCACGUAGAUGUCCAUGAUCUUUGUUUGUGCUGACUGUAAAGACAAGGGAGCUACUUUUGCAGGGGUAUUGAUGAUUGCAGACUCUCAUUUGAGAAAGAGGGACAUGGGAGGCUUCUGUGACAACCCCUGUAAGGCUCGAAGUAAGUCUUAACUACUGGGAGACCACCCCAAGUGAGACAUGAGAACAGAGUUCGAUGCAAACGCAAGAGGUUUAUUUUUCUGUUGCAUCGGUGUCGACCCUCAAUCAGUCCCUUGUGGCGAGUGACUAGAAGGUGACCCUGAAUGACUAUAAUAAGCAGUUUUUAUACUUUUUUUAGGGGUACAGGUUACAUCAGCAAGGUUACAGUUUAAAUUUAUUGACUAACCAUAUUGACCUUUGAGUCUAUUGGCCAGCAAGCAUAUGACAUGCAUUUGAACUCUAUCUGGGAUCAGAAGGUCAGGUGAUUAUCAGUCAGUACAUUCUGUGGUUUUUUAAGAAUGUUCCUGCUCCUCCCGAGAACUGUGGGAGGAGAAUGAAACUUGACCUGAGGUGGGAAGCUGGUACUUAGCCUAAUUGACCUGAGGUGGUGGGUAUAAGGCUGGCAAAAGUCCCUAGGGUCCUUCACCCCUACCUACACCCCACUUCACACCCACAAAAAGGAAUAGUUUAGACAGGUGCUAUGGAAGAGAACUUAAAAAUUGUGACAAGGCUUCUGAAGGUUGGCUCUCCACAAUCCAUGGCUUCUAGUCGGGGUGCAGACAGGGGAGGCCUCAGUUUUCUUUAAGGGGCUGGUCACUGGGAGUUUUUUUCUCUUCCUCUUUCUUCUUUAUGAGGAGAGGUCACAGGGAGGGGGUGGAGUGGACUUUGGAUGACUGGACAGUGGAUGUGAUGGGGUAAGUAAUGAGAAAUUCACAAAUCAGCAAAAAUGUUAUGGAAAAAAGAGAAAAGAAAGCAGUUUUCAGGUUUUACCUGACCUUGGAUGGAAUACAGUCCUUGGAAACAACACACACACACACACACACACACACACACACACACACACACACACACACAUUUAGCUUAAGGACAUCAGGUAAUGUAGUGUGUAGUUUAGGAGUCAGCCACAUCGGUUUCGCCCAUCCCCCAUGGCUAGCUCUAAGCUGCCUUCUGUCACUGAUUCCUUCAGCCAGCUGCUAAGCUGACCAAACCAGAUUUUCCUGAAAACACCUAGAGCUAGCAGCUUGCAUUCCUCAGGCCAUACCCAAUGGAUAGUCUUGGAAAGCCAACAACACCCCGUCUAGACUCAUGAAAGGAAAACACUAGAGGCUUAUAUUUAUGCCAGCCAGACUUACAUCAGUAAAUCUCCAACCCCAACAUGCCCACGCAAAGAACACAACUCAGUUAAUAUGAAUGCGAGCUGCACACCUAGGUUUGGCCAAUGAACCCUACACUACUCUACUGCCCAGCUAUGAGAUCCCUGGAUACUUGUGGCUCCUCCAGGCCACGAGGGUCUGCUCCAUCUUCCUCCUUUUCUUCAUCCUCACUCUGUCCUCCUCCUCUUCUUCCCUUUUUCCCUUCUUUCUCCUUCUCUCCCUGUUCCAAAACUUUCAGCUCCACCUUUUCCUUCCACUGCCCAAGCACAGGCUCUAGCCUUUAUCUGACCAAUUAAGAUUUCACCUGACAUCACCUGAGUACAUCCUCAGUCGGGGCACCCCUCUUGAGGGAGCAGAAAAUACAAACAGCAAUCUACAACAAGGUAAUAAUCAGUUUGGGAGUCUUUGUCAUGCAACACGCUCCACCCAAGUUGGAAUGGCGUAGACAAACUAUUUUCUGUGGCUCACAGUCCUCCGGGUUGGCAGGGAAGUUCUGGUCCAGGUCAGCUCACAUGUAACUUUGGCAAGUAGUGGCCUCUCUCCUGUGCGGUUAUUGGUGGGCCACAAGCCAGAGCCACAGUUUCCUUUGUGUGGUUUCUCAUCUUUAAAUAGGCCACUCUCAGUUUAUUUCCUCAGCAUCUUAAGGACUAUAGAGCAGCAAAGAGACAGGUCCUAGGGGCCAGGUGAUUUUCAGAUUUGCUUUUGUUACACGUUUGUCAAAGUCUUGUUAGCCAAGUCAAGAUCCAUAUCCAAGUGUUCAUGCAAGGCAAUGAAAAGAUUCCUCAUCUCCUCCCCUUACCCGACCCCUCCUCCCCGCCCCGUGUUUUUGACACGGUUUUCUAUGUAGUCCAAACUGGCCCUCAAAUUCUCAGUUCUGCCUCAACCCCCAGAGAGCAGGAAUUAUAGGUGUGUGCCACUGAUUCAGGAUUAAAUUGUUUUUCCUCUUUUAUGUUUGUUUCAUUUGGUUAUUUAAAAUAAAUUUUUCUUGAGACAGGGUCUCACUGGAAGAUCUGCCUACCUCAACUUCUUGAGUACUGGGAUUUGCAAUUUUUUGUGGGGUGGUGGGGGUACACAAUUUUAUUGCCAAGGAGUGUGGAUUCUGGGAGAAAAAUGUUGGGCCAACCUUUUGUACACCGUGUGAAGGUUGUCUCUAUAUAUUCAAUUGUUGAUUGCCGGAGAGCUGAGUUCUGGCAGAUCUUGGUGCUGUUAUUCCAGUUGUCUAUCACCAGCUUCAAGCACCCAUCCUUUCUUACUUGCUGAUUGGCUUUAGUAGAGAUCUGAUGGCCAAUAGCUGAGCAGGAAACAGAAGGUGGGACUUCCGGACAGAGAUAGGAACUCUGGGAGAAGAACGGAGAGGUGGGCGAUUCAGCCCGUGGACAUGGAAGAUCCGCAACAGACUGUAGUGGAGCAGAGAGGUACAGAGCUAGCCAUGUGACAUAGGUCAUAGGCUAGUUAGUCGGGUUAAGUUUAGAUAGUUGUCUGGGAGACUACCCUAGCUAAAAAGCCUAAGCUUUAAAAUAUUAAAAGACUCCGUGUCAUUAUUUAUAUAGUUGGCGGGUCCAUGAAAAACAACAGCGUGGCAUUUUUUCCUAUUAGGAACCUUUACCGCAGGGCUUUUAGUGUUUGGAGGUGACACGUUAUGACUUCUCAGGGUUUUACUGCCGGGCUUGGAUUUGUGCAUCGAGAGUAAGUUUGUUAGUUGAGUUUUCUUUUGUGUUCACGUUCCCUUCUUUCAGCUGACGUGUUUACAAUGUUCAGGAUGAGGCUAAUUCACAGCUGGAUUGGAAUCUUGUUUGGCUGUUUGUCUGGCUUUCGAGGUUGCAACCUCUAGUCAGAUCUGCUUCUAUGCUGCAAUCUGCGGUCUUCCAACAGUUUGCUCAAAGAGCCUCGAACCCGUUUUCUCCUGGUACUAUGGACUGGUCCUAGGUUUCAAGGACGGACAGAGCAACUAGAGAGCCUCAGUUAGGCAGAGACAGGGCUCUGGGACUCUGGGUCAAGUAUGGCUGGAUCUCUGUGGGGACUGAGACCAGGGCAGCCCCAAAGGGAAGGAGACCGAUUGCGAGAAAGAGGCUGCCCCUGAGGCAGAAGGAACACCCAUUCACAGCCUGCCCCACAUGUGACUGAUACAUAUACAGCCACCCAAUUAGACAAGAUGGAUGAAACAAAGAAGUGCAGGCUGAUAGGAACCGGAUGCAGAUCUCUCCUGAGAGACACAGCCAGAAUACAGCAAAUACAUAGGUGAAUGCCAGCAGCAAACCACUGAACUGAGAACGGGGCCCCCGUUGAAGGAAUCAGAGAAAGAACUGGAAGAGCUUGAAGUGGCUUGAGACCCCAUAUGAACAACAAUGCCAAGCAACCAGACUUCCAGGGACUAAGCCACUACCCAAAGACUAUAUACAUGGACUGACCCUGGACUCUGACCUCAUAAGUAACAACGAAUAUCCUAGUAAGAUCACCAGUGGAAGGGGAAGCCCUUGGUCCUGCCAAGACUGAACCCCCAGUGAACGUGAUUGUUGGGGGGAGGGCGGUAACGGGGGGAGGAUAGGGAGGGGAACAUCCAUAUAGGAGGGGAGGGAAUGGGUUAGGGGGAUGUUGGCCCGGAAACUGGGAAAGGGAAUAACAAUCGAAAUGUAAAUAAGAAAUACUCAAGUUAAUAAAGGAAAAAAAAAUGUCAGUUUACAGUUGUUGGCCAGAUUAGGAUCCACACAGGAAUUCUCCCAGAUUAGGAUCCACACAGGAAUUCUCUUCCUUCCCCUUCUCUUAAUUUGAAACACAACAGUUACCAUGUAUUUAUGAACCUACCCAUGGGUGGAUCAAAGGAGAGCAUUGCCAGCCCUAAGGCAGCUGCCUAAGAGCUUGAAUCGGGUGGAUCUCUCAAAAAAUAUUAUUGCAUUACUAUUUAUGCACGCAUAUGUUUUUGUGUGCUCCUGAAUGAGUGUAUGUGUUCUGUGGCAUGCAAGAUGGAGGUCAGAAACAACGGAGGUCAGGGAUCGUUUUUUACCACUCCGUGGGUCCUGGGAACCCAAUUCAGAUCUUCCAUAGGUUCUUCCUUUCCUGAGACAUUUUGCUGGCAUGGGGUAGAUUAUUUGUAAUCCCUGGGUUUAAUUCAAAGUUUCUCAGUACCUCUAUUCUUCCUAGAAGUUAUUUUUGGGUCUGCAGAGGAGGACGUCCUUGUCAUAUGAAUGCGUGUAAUACACUUUCAAAAAAACUGAUGUAAGCAGACUUUCUGGCACGGAGAAUGAUGAAGUGUGAGUUCAAAGGGAGACUUAGUUACAGCCUUUGAGAACAAGGGAAAUCAAUGGGAAAAGAUUAAGAAUGCAUAUGACUGAAAAGACACACGAUAUGGCCAUGGUAUUUAACUUUUAGAAAAGGGGACGUAACACUUGCUAUUGUGGCCAGCUUAAUCAUCUCAUGGUUCUUCCUCUGCAAGGUCAAGGUUUGCAGUUCACAUCUGUGAGGGUGUCAGCCUGACAUUAUACUAAGACACUGCAAGACUGUGUGUCAGUUUGCUCUCUCUACACAGCUCCUGACCACCUUCUGGCUAACGGCUGCCAGACUCCUCCUUUCAGGCUCUGUCAUUGGAUCACUCUGCAUUAGUGUUGUUCAGGGUGAGCCCACCGUUUCCUGGCUUGACUGAUCUGUUCCCUGCCUGCCUUUCCGGCUGCUCGGUGUUGUUUUGCCGUUUCUAUCUGUUGUUUUGGGUACAGCGGUGCUGCCUCUGUUUCUACAGAGUGUAAACUUCCGCCAUUGUUCCUACUUUGGGGAUGAAUAGUCUGUGACCUGCCUUCAUCUAAGUUGGGGAGCUUCUUUGUUCGUGAACACGUUCUUUUCCUUUCAGCCGUUCAUCCAGAUUUCGAUCAUUUGUUCAUUCAUUCAUUGACUCAUUCAUUGUCCAUUGAUUGAUUGAUUGACUCAUUCAUUCAUGUGGUUAUUGAUUAAGAUUGUAUUACCAUCUCAAACCAGACCCAAUACAGAGCAGGCAAAUCAUGGGGCCUUCAGACUGGGCCAUGGUGGUGUCUUAGUCAAUGUUUCUAUUACUGAGACAAAACCACCAAGACCAAAAAGCAAGUGGGAGAACAAGUCUUUACACUUCUACGUCAUAAUCCAUCAUUGGAGGAAUUCAAGCAGGGAUGGAACCCGGAGGCAGGAUCUGAUGCAGAGGCCACGGAGGUAUGCUUCUCACUGGCUUGCUUUCCCUGGCUUCCUCAGCCUGCCUUCUAGAACCCAGGAAUACCAGCCCAGAAAGGCACCACCCAUCAUGGGCUGUGCUCUCCCCCAUUGAUCACUAACUGAGAAAAUGCCUUACAGCUGGAUCUUAUGGAGGCAUUUCCCUCAACUGAAGUUCCUUUCUCUGUGAUGUCUCUAGCUUGUGACAGGGAGACACACAAAACCAGCCAGAACACUUGGGAAGUCAGGGCAAUGUCUGUGGUUGCAUACUAUGUAGGGGUCUCCAUACCAUCUCUUCUUGCUCCUUCUCAGCUUUAUGAGGAUUACUGUCUGAAUGCCCAUAACAAGACAGAAAUUAAUAAAGUGGGGGGGGGAGGUGAACACCCCACAACAGGCUAAGUUUUAUGCCUGUUGUUCAUGGUAGCGGAUCCCUGUGAUCCCAGAACUCAGGGAGGUGAUUGUUGAAAGAAUGCAGCAGAAUUCAGGACCAGCCUUGGCUUUAUGUACCCUGCCUUGGACAAACAAACAAACAAACAAACAAACAAAAGAAAGUCUUAUCUGACAUUGCACCUUUUAGGUUGAAGAGCCAAGGACUUAGGUAAGAUUAGAGAUUGCUGAGGUUUAAUGAGGAGUGAGCAGUCAUGUAGAAACAUGAGUGGACAAAGGGCCAUGACUUAAUGUAGUGGACCAAGAUGGGGGACUCAACAAGGCCUGUUUGUUCAGAUUUCUUCUACUCUCACUGCAUAGUAUUCCUUUCCAGGUGUGGGCAGGACUCCUUUAGAAUGAGUCUUAUCAUCUACUGUCAGACAAAUAUAGGUCAGAGAAGUUCUUCAUGGGCAGCUCUAAGACACACAAGUGGGGUUAGUUAGAGCAACAGUUUUAGGAAAGGGGGCUUAGUUUCAAAGAUCCUUGGGAGAAAGAGAGUUCUGAUUUCUGUAACUACUUUGGGGACUCUAAGGGAUAGGAGACUGAGGGGAGGAGAAGGUGAGGGAAAAACUGUGCCUCUUGUGUACUCUUGGAUUUGUUUCAGUUCAAGGCACCUAACAUACAGCACCAUGUUAUAUUUUUUUCCCAGUAACGACCUUAACACAGUAAGAACUCAAGAUAUAGAUGUUUUUAUGUAUGGUACUAUCAAUUAAACCCAGGGCUUUGCACAUGCUAGGCAAAUGUAUUGCCUCUGGGCCACAGUUCCAGACUCAAAAUGUAUUUCGAUAAAUAUUUAAUCAAUAUUAAAUGGCAGCUCACAACUGUCUAUGACUCCAGUUCCAGGAAAUUUAGUGCACUAUUCUGGUCUCAAUGGACACCAGUCAUACAUAUGGUUUACAUACAGACAAAACAGUCAUCUACAUAAAAUAAAAAUUAAUAAGUAGUUUAAAAAGUAAAUAUAAAAUUCUAUGACUCAUUUGCAUAUAUAUUUUGUCCUUAGUCUUUGUACUAGCUGUAGUCUAUAAAGUUAGGUAAACACUGACUUAGUCAAUAUGGAGCCAUUGUUCUCAGAGUAAAUACAGGGUUAGGCUUGCUGAUUUUUAGUAACACUUUUUAUUAAUAUUAUUAAGUCAUAUUAUUAAUUUUUAAGUGCUUCUGUUCCAAGACACAUUAUUUAAUAUUGUUGAUGAUAUGUUAACAUUGAUCAAACAUAUGGCAGCAACAUUAUAGCUUAAGCCUAAUGGGGGUUAAUCACAUACAUGCAUGUUCAUACAUACACACAGACACAUACAUCUAAUGGGGGCUAAUCACUGCAUGUUCAUACAUACACACAGACACAUAUAUCUAAUGGGCUAAUCACAUGUGUGUUCAUACAUACACACAGAUAGACACAUGCAUCUGUAGUUUUACUUACUAUUACUUUGUUGUGAUAAGAUACCAUGACCAAGGCAACUUAUAGACAAAAUAAUUUUAUUUGAGGCUUAGAGUUUCAGAGGGCAGAGUCCAUGACAUCUGGUGUGGAGCAUGGUUGCAGGCAGGAGAGUAGGCAUGGUGCUGGAGCAGUAGUUAAGAACUGGAAUCCUAAGACAACCAUAAGGCAGAGAGUGAGAGAGACUAGGAAUGGUAGAAGUCUUUUGAUAUCCCAGACCCUGCCUCUAAUGACACACCUCCUCCAUCAGGACCCCACGUCCCAAUCCUUCCCAAAAAGCUGGAGAUUAAAUGGAGAUUAAAUGUUAAAACCUAUGAGCCUAUGAGAGUAUGCUCAUUUAGAACACACACACACACACACACACACACACACACACACACACACACACAAUCUCUGUACCAAUCUUGGGGCUUCUUGGUCACCUAUCUUUUCCUCCCUGUCUUCUGCUUGGUAAAAUAUAUGCAAAAGAAAUUUGAAAGGACAAGUGUGGAUGCCACUGGCUCUGACAAGAGUUUGUGCUGAAUUAGCAAGCUCAGAGAUAGAUACACUGAUCUGUAGCCAGCUUCUACCUGAUUGGCCAAAGAAUAGUAAAGAAGAAUAUCUAUGUGGAUUUAGGGUUUAGGAAAAUGCACAGUUUCAUGAGGCCUGUGGAGAUGUAAGUGGAUUCUCUUAUUCUGAGGAAAACUUUGGUAUAAUCGAUCACAGAUCCCUUUCCAUCCAUCAUCAAUUGUCCUUGCAGGAUUUUAUCGAGAAGUUAGAAAAUGUGCAUGCGUAGUUAGGGACUUGCUUGUGGCAGUCGUAGGCUGGGAGGCUGGCUGCCAUGCGGUUAGGGAGCUCACUGCUCUUCUUUGGAAGCGUUCACUCAGUUCAGGCACCGUGCUAGGCAGUUGCAGUAUCUGUCCAAUCAGGAAUCAAGGCUGAGUGUGAUGGUGUAAUUGCAGCAGAGGCAGGGGCAUAUCUCUGAGUCUGAUGCUAGCCUGCUGCUACCGAUGGAGUUCCAGGCUAGGCAAAGGUACAUACUAAGAGUCUAUCACCCCAAAGAAAACAAAAUCAAUACCCAGAAGCUGCAGAAAAAGGAUGUGUAAUUUAGUUUUUCCAACAUAAUAAUUUUUAUUGAUUAUCUCUAUUGAACUUACUUCCCAAUCCUCCCAGGUCUGCCUUCACCCUUCUGACCCUACCUCUCACCCAAAGAAGUAGAGGGAGAAGGAGGAGGGGAUGAGGGAGGAGGAGGAGGGAGAGGGGUAGGCGAUGACAGGAGAAAAAGCACAAGUCAAUUUGUGUUUCCUAUCUACUCACUGGAGCAUGGUCAAACUCCCAGUGGCCAGCCCCACAAAGAAAACAGAGUUCUUCCCCACCUACAGCCCCACCAGAAGCCAUCAAUUGUGGAGAGCUACACUUCAGCAUCCUUAUUGCACAUUUUAAGAGUUCUCUUCAAUGACUUUCAAUCUAGUCUCUUACUUUCUUUUUUUGCCAGGGGUUGAAGCAGGGGUGGGGUUAGUGAUGUCACAAGAGCCAUCUAGGUCUUUCUCAACUGUGAGUCUGCAGUCACUGAGACCACUGCAAAGUGGUGUCUUCACAGUCAUCAGGAACAUGGAUCAUGGACUUCCACAUAGUCUCUGGUGUCGUCAUGUGCCACAGACUUCUCCAUAGUCCCCAGAGGCAGUAUAGACCAUGGAUAUCAACAUGGCUCUCUGCUUCAGCAUACCAUCAUGGCCUCUGAGGCAAUACAGUUAGUGAACACCAAUAUGGUCCUUGGAGCCUGGCUCACAGACAUCAACAUGGCCUUCAGCUGCAACAGGGACAUGGAUCCCUCUGUGGCCCUCUGUGGCAGUAUAGGCCACUCAGAUCAACAUGGCUUCUAGUGACAGCCUGCAUCGUGGACACUAAAAUGGCCUUCUGAGGUAGCACUGACUAUGGACAUCCACCUAGUCUCUGUUGGCAGCACACAUUUUGGACAUCCACAUGAACCCUGGGCUUCAACAUGGUGGGGGACAGGGGAGGGACCAUGGAUACCACCAUGGCCACCAGGGGCAUCUUCGUUUUGGACAUCCUGUUGUUGCUCAGAGCUAGGGUGAUUGUGCAGCGGGGCAGCAUGUUUGAGGCUGAGUGUGCAAGAACUUCAGGCUGCUGCACACACUACCGUGUCAGCCCCACUCAGUAACAUCAUGUUCCCUGGCCCACCACAGCCUUUCCCCUCACUGUACAUUCACUGUGCUUCGCUCCACUUUCCCACCUCUCCAUCACAUCCGCCGCACUGGAAACUGCAGUGUGCCUCUGUCUGUCUGCCUGCCCGCCCGCCCAUCCAUCCAUCCAUCCAUCCAUCCAUCCAUCCAUCCAUCCAUCCACCCACCCACCAUCUAUCCCAAACAGCUUUAUUGCAUACAUACACUGCAACUAGUCCUUGGCCUGGGUCAAGGUUUCCGGUUUCAGAAGCACCAUAAAUACUGGACUGAUGUGUACUUUCUUAAAGGUUGCACAGUUAAGCGCAUGCAAAUCCUACCUAUUCCUGUUAAUGUCAUAACUGUGCUGCACUACUGAGGAAGUAUAUAUAAUGAUGUAAAGAAAUUUUUGUAAUAUCUUGCUACAGUAAAAAUGGUUGUCCUUAAGUUUUUCACUAAAUCAUCGUUUUCUGGGAAUGAGUCUGUUUCAUUUAUCGCUUACAAAUUCACUGACAGAAGCUGUCCAUAGCUCAUUAUAUUUGAGUAUUUCCAGAAACUGUACUUUAUACUUUUGAUCCCCAUGUUUUGCUUUUUUAGUUUAUUGCCUUAUUUUUGAAAUUGUAUCCAUUGAGAAUAGAAUGUAUACAAUGAUCAUAUCCACUUCCUGUUUCCCCUUCCAACUCUCUCUGGGUUCCCCUCAAGGACAUGUUACCCACAACUUCGUAUCCCCUGCUCCUUUCCCUGACCCAGCAUCUGCUCAAACCAACUCAAGUGGCAGAGAAUGCUUUCUCUGAUAUGGGCAGAUAUUCCUUUUAUAAACUUUGUAUUCUUUGUAAACCCCCAAGGGACAUAAGUUGGCCAGGCCCUGCCUGAGGAGCACCAGCAGCCAGGUCUUGCUCCCCAAAACGGGCUGUUUUCUAACUGCUCUAAUGGCCAUUCCUAGCCCUAAGGUAGGAGAGUGGCCAGGCCUUGCUUUACAAAAAAAAAAACAAACCCCAAACCAAACCAAACCAAACCAAACCAAACCAAACAAACAAACAAACAAACAAAACAAAAAACAAAAAAACACCAAUCCCUGAGUUUGCUUUAAGACCAAGGUCUCGUAAUCCCUCCAAUCUCAGGCCACCUUGGAGAGCUCUGCCCCCUCAAAGCUCCACCCCCAAGUCUCCAGAGCUGAGGCAGCAGUCCUCCUGGGUUUUUCCUUCCCCAAAAAUCUCUCGUGUGAGGUUUGUUGUGCGCUGUGCCUCUGUGGUAUUCCUUGGCUCCUGACUCAGCCAAGAUACCUUUCCCCACCGAGAGCUGUAAGGCUUACUGUGGGAUCUUCCAGUGGAGCACACGCAACCUACCAGUGGCCACACCUUCACCGGAAAUGGCUGUCUUCCCCUCAACAGCCAUCAUUGCCAGAGCUCCUCCUAUAGGGGUGGGGACCUUGUGACUCCCUCCCCAUUCAUGACGAUGGAUUACUGAUUGCCUUGACCUGAGUUUGUAAACAUAGCCGCUAAUUGUUCUUAUUAGUUUUGAUUUUUCUGUGGGUGUAGACAGGGUUGGUUAAUUUCACCUGGGGUCUCAGAGGAUCAUCCUUUUUUUUGUUGUUGUCACACGAAGGUUAGUUUUUAUUUGCUAAAUUUGUGAUGGCAUCUUUAUUAUUUCCCCUCCUGUGGAUUUCAUUUGAUCCCCCUUUCUCAGUCUAACUUCUUAAGGCGAGUGCUAAGAUAUUUGAUAUAUUCAAACUUCCUCAUUUUUUUCCUCAUAUUUUUCUAAUAUGUACGGUUAUAAACACAAAUGCCCUUUUUGAUGUGGUAUUGGUUUUCACCUAUAAAAAUGGAUAUGUAGUUUAAAAAAAUAUGCCAUCCCAGGUAGUUCUCACUUCUGUGACCUUCUUUGAUUCAUGAGCAUUAUUUUAUUUUAUUUAUUCUUUAAAAUAUUUUUAUUUUAUGUAUAUGAAUGUUUUGUCUGUCUGUAUAUAUAUCACCUUCAUGACUAAUUUCCACUGAGGCCAGACGAGGGGGUUGAAUCCUUUGGAAUUGGAAUUACAGGCACCUGAAAGCUGUCAUAUUUUGUUGGGAACUGAACCUGGGCCCUUUACAACAGCAGCCAGUGCUUUAGCCACUGUUGUCUCUAGAUCUUUAUUAUUUGUUUUUGUCUUUUAAGGCAGAAUCUUAAUGUGUAGCCUGGUUGGUCUGGAGCUUACUAUGCAGUCCAUACUGGCCUGGAAGUCACAGCCAUCUUCCUGUCCCAGGUUCUUCAGUGUUGGGAUAACAGGUGUUAAGCCACAGUGCCUGGCUUCCUGGGCAGCCCAGAAAGGUAUUGGCUAACGGCUAAACAUGAGGGUUCUUGGGCUGCCCUUUAAUAAAAUGUUUGCCUUUCAAACAUGCGGGACUUGCAUUCGAUCCUCAGAACCCACAUUAAAAGGAAACUAGAUGUGAGUGGUAUCACGUGCUUAUAAUUCUAGCUCGGGGAAGGCAGGGGUGGGCAGAUCCCUGGGGGCCUGAGGCCUUGACUUAGCAUACCUUCUGAAUUCCCAGGCCAGCAAAGACUGUCUCAAGAAAGAGGAUGUCACCUGAGGUUUUAGUCUGUCACACUUGAAUGUGUACAUGCAUUUGUGCACUGGCACACAUGUACACAGAGGGUGGGGUGAGAUAGAGACAGACGGAGAGAGGAAGAGGAAAGAGAAAGAGGGAGGAGACAAAGGAGAGAGAGGAGGGGGACAGGAAAGGGAGAGAAUAUUUACAUGAGUUAGGGGCUCUACAUGUUCAUUGAGAAUUUUAUCAAAAUCGUUCAAAUCCUUCCAGAUGUUUUCUUCACAUUUUCUGCUAUUCAGAAGGAUAUGUCAACAAUUUCCAACCACGAUAUGGGCUUCUUUCUUUAUUCUCUUAUUUCCAGCAUUUUUCUUCUUUACAUAUUUUGAGAUAGUGUCCUUAGAUUGACAUACUGUACAUCAUACUUUCUUUACAAGUAUUUCCCUUUCUAUCUGAUAAAAUUUUCACCUUUGUUUCUAGCAACACUUCCAGACUUAACAAUUGCAUCGUCUUAUAGUGAAGAUUCAUCAGCUUUUCGUGGUCAAUGUUGACAUGGUUCUGGGAGUUGAACACAGGUCAUCAAACUUGGUGACCAGCUCUUUCACCUGUCUUUGCCAGAUUGCUGCCUCACAAAAUUUGUUAUAAGAAGAGGAAAGGCUAAGAGAGGAAAGGUGCAUCUUCAGAACCAUGUCAGGUCUUUGAAAGAGCGUACCCCAAAACGGGGAGCAGUGUCUCUCGCUCCGAUCGCAGGGUGGGGUGCCCCCAGGAAUCACGAGGAGCCAUUCUUGAUGUAACAGCAAGAGGUAGCUUUAUUAACGAGAUCCCGGGUCUUAGCGGGAUCCCGGGUCGACACGUAUCUCACACAGGAGACAGAGGAAUCGACCCCGAGCUUCCAAACUCGGGGGUUUAUAUAGGGGAGGUAAGGGGCAUUCUCUCGGUUACACAUGAUUGGUCAAUUCAAAAGGUGCACGGUUACUUUCGGCGUGAAAUGACAUCAGCAAGGAGUAUGUGUUAUCUAGCAGCUCGGCAGGCAGGUAGGGUGGCUCAUCUCACUCAGGGGGGUGAAGGAAGGGGAGGGUGUCCUUGGGGAAGGAAGGAUGGUCAGUGUCCUUGGGGCUGAUAGCUGGUUUGGCAAGUCCUAUCUCUGGCUCUCCCUCAGGCACGUCCGGCCCUGCACAUCGGACUCUGACAAUGAGCAACCUUUAUGAAACUCUAGUUCUGCACAUUCGGGCUCUGACAAUGAGUAACCUUUAUGAAACUCUAGUUCUACAUUCCCCACUUUUUUUUGUUAAUAGUUCUAAUCCUAGAACUUCAUGGAGAACUCAGCUUCAUCUAGCAUAACAGCUUGGUAUUGUUGUCUUAACAUGAGGAUUCUAAUCUGGACACUAUCCAAGCCUAUCCACCAAGGUCAUGACUAGCUUUUAGAACUUCUGAGCUUAUACAGACUGUGAUCCCUGAGGCACAGUCCCAAGAAGUGUUAAGAGUACUAACAUAUGCAAUGUUAUAUCAUUUGUAAUGGAAAUCAAGCCUAUCCCACACCUAUCUUGAUAGAACCCAGGACAAACAUGACUGAAUUUCCCUCUAGGUCCCAGCUCUCAGCCCCAACAGCUAGUACGCGGCUGGUGAGGGCUGAGAAUUGACAGCUGUCAGGGUGGUCAGCAGCACCAGGUACAGUCCUUUCCAGUGAGGCUCGAAUGUCUGGGCUCAGUGUAGCUGCAACCUGGAAUUGAUGGGAUGUCUCAGGGGUCUCCGGGGCAUAGGCUGCUGUCAGCUGUGAGCAGAUUUCUUUCUGUAUCACCUGUAGGUCUUUUAGCCUGGCAUACAAAUCAUUAUUACUAUGGCACUAUGACAUGUUGGUUCAGUAACAUCAUCUAAUACAGACGGGGGGGGGGGGGCUGAGGCCCCAUAUAAGAUCUCAAAGCAGGUAAGGCUGAAUCUGGAAGGGGUGUUUCUUGCUCUGAAGAGUGCAAGAGGGAAGGAGUGUCACCCAGUCUGCGCCAGUCUCCAUGGUUAAUUUAAUUUGGUCAGGGUCUCUUUUAAAAUUUUAUUUAUUUACUCUACCUGUCCUAACUUUGAGGUCUGUAGAUACAAUGUAAUUUCCAAUUGACCUCUAAAUACUUGGCCACACCCUGGCUUACCUUGGCAACGAAAGUAGGGCCUUUGUCUGACCAGAUUACCUUGGGCAUUCCAAAUCGGGGGAAGAUUUCUUCCAGUAUCUUCUUGAUGAUUGCAGAGGCCGUCUCUCAUUUGGUGAGGAAAGCUUCUAUCUAUUCCUGAAAAAGUAUCUACAUGCACUAGGAGAUAGUUGUGAUUAUAUUUUUCUGGUUUUAUCUCAGUGAAGUUCACUUCGACUUUUCACUAAACUCUCUAGGUCUCUUUGCCCUGUUUGCUUGUUAAGCAUUCACUUAUUGACAUACCUUAUACUUUCUACUGUCUCUCUGGCUAAAAUCUUAAAGUCUAUUACACACACCUUAACUACUUGGACAAACUUCUUAUCUCCUAAAUGAGUCCAUUUCUGUAUUUGGCAAAGUGAGUCUUUCCUUUAUUCUCUGGGGAGUAUAGCUUUCCCCUCAAGUGUGCCAUUGUCCUUUAUCUUUUAAGCAAUUUGGGCCUUUUCUAAGUGAGGCCAUCCCUUAGUCCGAUCCUAGUUCUCAGUGGCUGUCUCUUGCAGGCCUGCAACCAAGAUAGGCUCCUGCAUAGCCAUUUUUCGAGCCGCUUAAUCUGCUUCGUUAUUGCCCCAUGCCACUGAAUCUCUUCCCUCCUGAUAUCCUGAGCAAUGAAUAGUACUCACAGUUGUUGGCUUCACCAGGGCAUCCAAGAGAUGGCAAAAGCAUCUGAAGUGUUGAUGUGCUGGGGGGGGGUAGAGGUUCAGCCAUCCCAGAUGACAUUGUGUUGUCCACCAUGGCAGCACCCACUUGUCUCUGACCUUCAUUCAUGAAGAGAACUGUUCCCGUCUGUGGACAAGGUCCUCGGCUUUCAGCAGGGGUCAAUUAGCCAGUCACAGAGGUCUUUCCUCCACCCAUGGGCUUCUGCCAGUACUUGACACUCAUGCUGUGGUGGCUCCAGGUCCGGAUUGGGCAGCAAGGUGACCAGAUUGUCCCCAACCGGUGGAGAAUCUAGUCCAUGGCAGCUGACCAGUGGUCCCAUCUUUUGGGACACUCUAUUCAAAGGCAGAACACCAGCCACUCUAUCACAGUUUAAGUCCUGGAUUGGGUGGUAAUUGUUAGUGUCCGGCUGGCAGGAGUGAUGUGUUCCAGGCAGAUCAGGACUAAGUCACACAUCUCCCAGCAUCAGGUACUGGUGCACUGAGACAGGUCUUAAGCUCCACAUACACAGUCUGUAGAUAUGCAAACACAUGGCCUCACCCAACCAUUUCAGCCCACGCAAGCCAUUUUGGAGAGCAAUUUUCUCAUGAGCAAGGGAUAGGGGCAGUCAGGGAUGAUUAUGAACUAGUGGGUGGGUUACCCGGCCCAUGCCAAGGUCCACUGUUCUUCGGGCAGUCCAUAAGUAUUGUUCGUUGCCAGUAGCCCCUUGCACUCAAGGUCUUUGGAUAUUGGCCCACUGGGGGGCAUAGGAGCACAGAGCAUUGGGUCCCUGUAUCCAUAAAACAACUGGGCAGGCUUCCCUCCUAUCUCUGCACAUAGCCAGCACUCCAGGACCGAGAGGCUCUCCAGUGUCCCCUCUUGUUCUUUCUGGGGCAGUCCCUGACCCAGUGUCUUUUUUUUCUUUGCAUUAGGCACACUGAUCUUUAGCCAGGAAUUCUCUUCUGUUGCCAGGUACUGUCUUCCUAGGUUCCCUAACUACUGUGGCCAGUAUAUGUUCCUCUCUUGUCUUUUAUCUCUCUUUAGCUCUCUAGCUUCCUCUUCUUUUAGUCUCUUUUCUUCCCUAGCUUCUUGCUCUUUUUACCUUCUUUCUUUCUUUCUUUCCUUCCUUCUUUCUUUCUUUCUUUCUUUCUUUUUUCAGUCUCUCUGCAUCUUCUUCUGCAGCUAUUAGGUGCUGUCCACUUUUCUGCACAGACACUGAACCAUGCAUCAACUUAUUUUCUCUGCAACUUACAAUAACUCUCUCAGUGACUUAGCUUAACCCUUCAAGUUUCUGUAACUUUCUCUUCAUAUCUUUUCCUUAUCUUAGCCAGAUUGGUGGAGCACUUUCCAGCCCCUCAGAGACUCACCCUUGGAGCCUGGCGGCAGACCUGGCACUCCCUACCUUCAGGCGUCUGAAGAGAGCAGGCAGAAGUGAGGGCCUUCUAUCCGUGUCUGGAACAUUUUUUUCUGGUCUCCAGUAGGAUUCCGUCUUUCAUCAGUGGUAAAGAAGACCUGUAACAGUUACUAACAAGCAUCUCAAAUGGGAUGGUGAGAAAACAAGAGAAUCUUGUGAAGAGGGCAAACAGCAUUUAUCUCUCUUCAGUGUCAGCUCCGUGGCUUUGCCUCUCAAGAGAACCAGCCUUCAAAUGACACUAGGCUUUUAGUAACAACUAAUGACAAAAGGAUGGAGAGAUGGUUAGAACCUGGUUGCUAGAUGCCAGGUGGCUGACAGAAGAAUUCACCUGGGGCUAUCAGGACUUCAGUAGUAGCCCUUUACCAAACUGUCUCACUGGGUUUAAAGGGCCCAAGGAAAAGAAAACAUUAAUCCUGACCUUGGCCACCUCCAAGUAAUUUAGUGCUGGAGACUGACUCCUCCCUUGGAAUAAAGACAGCAGAUAAGGCAGGCUUCCUUAAAGAACUUCUCUAAAUGAGUGCUCUCCUACUGUGAGCAAAUGUCAGAAAUUCCUUUCCUGUUCUUGUUUUCCUUAUAGCCCCACCUAGCUCUCAGCCUUUUUAGAUUAUUCUUCCUGUAGCAUUUCUAACGCAGCCUGUCUCUUUUUUUUUUUUUUAGCCUGUUAACAGCAUUUCUGAUCUUUUAGGCAGCUACGCACUAAGUGCCAUACCGGCUGAAACUCCACCUUUAAGAUUCCUUGCUCCCAAGCAAAAUUUACUCACUUCUCUAGCUUAUCUCAGCUGGCUUCGAGCACAAGCACAGAUAAAACACUGUUUUAAAAAUUAACUUUGGCUAUCAACCAACACACCGCCACUAGAGGGGGGUCCACAAAAUUAAGUUCCUUACUCACUAAGCAUUAAGGGGACCAAGUAAAAUUCUUCAACGAACAAAGCAAACAGUUUCAUGAUUUCAAACACAGUCGUCGGUCCAAGAUUUUAAACACGGUCGUCAGUCCAAAUUCAAACACGAAACAAAAGUCAAAAAGACACUGGACAAUACCACAGAAAACAAUCCAGACAAACAAGACCAAGACAAAGCAUCCUAUAACCAAUUUCCACAGAUGCCUGGUACCUUCAGUACCUGGCCCAAACUGCAGCUUAACCUUAGCUGCUUCUGGGAUACCAAACAGAGAAACAGAAUACAGACAACAGACACUAACACAUCUAAGCACACUUGUCCGUGCCUAUACUUAAAUAGGCAGCCGAACGCGACCUCCAAAGUCAAGUCACAGUCAGAUCUUUUUGACUGUCCGUUGCCGGGUCCUCCCGACAAAAUUCGGCUCGUGGAACGUCUCUCGCGCGUCCCAGAGCCAGGACCCGACAAAGGCUGGCUCGAGGAACGUCUCUCACGCGUCCCAGAGCCUGCUCGAUUGGGGCGUCCCCCGGUGAGCUUUCUAAAAAGGAAAAAAAGAAAGAAAAAGACUAUUCAGAGUAGGAAUCCUUCAUCUACUCACAGGCGCCUAUUCGGGGUGGGAAACCUUCUUCCACCCGUGCACAGGGCAGGAAUCCUUCUUCUGCCCAGACAGUGCACUCUCAAGCUAGCUUUCUACAGGGCGGGAAUCCUUCUUCCACCCGUGCACAGGGCAGGAAACCUUCUUCUGCCCAGACAGUGCACUAAGACUCUCGUGCACAGGGCAGGAAUCCUUCAUCUGCCCAGACAGUGCACUAAGACCUUAAACCGGUACCGAAAAACACAGACUACAGGACUUAAUUCACACACACUCACACACAGCGGCCGCUUUCCAGCACUCACACUAAAGUACCUCCAAGUGGCAUUCGGGGUUCCGGGGGUCACGCUCCGAUCCCGGACGAGCCCCCAAAUGAAAGAGCGUACCCCAAAACGGGGAGCCGCGUCUCUCGCUCUGAUCGCAGGGUGGGGUGCCCCCAGGAAUCACGAGGAGCCAUUCUUGAUGUAACAGCAAGAGGUAGCUUUAUUAACGAGAUCCCGGGUCUUAGCGGGAUCCCGGGUCGACACGUAUCUCACACAGGAGACAGAGGAAUCGACCCCGAGCUUCCAAACUCGGGGGUUUAUAUAGGGGAGGUAAGGGGCAUUCUCGCGGUUACACAUGAUUGGUCAAUUCAAAAGGUGCACGGUUACUUUCGGCGUGAAAUGACAUCAGCAAGGAGUAUGUGUUAUCUAGCAGCUCGGCAGGCAGGUAGGGUGGCUCAUCUCACUCAGGGGGGUGAAGGAAGGGGAGGGUGUCCUUGGGGAAGGAAGGAUGGUCAGUGUCCUUGGGGCUGAUAGCUGGUUUGGCAAGUCCUAUCUCUGGCUCUCCCUCAGGCACGUCCGGCCCUGCACAUCGGACUCUGACAAUGAGCAACCUUUAUGAAACUCUAGUUCUGCACAUUCGGGCUCUGACAAUGAGUAACCUUUAUGAAACUCUAGUUCUACAGUCUUGACUGUGUUAAUUCCUGUAGUGAUGUGCUUUAGGUUUACUCCCAGGGGACGUGAGGCUGCUUUGGACUGUCCACAGCACACUGACCAGGAUUGUCUCGUGCUCUAGCAGAAGCGUGGUACAUGAUGUCUGAGACUGGGCAGUGUUUGGAAUUCUGGGAACCUUUCAGUGGUACAUAAAUGUGAGGGCCUCAGGAGACAGGGUGUGGAGUUGUUGAUCAUUUAGGGAGGUUAAUUGUAGCUUGUUAGUGGCUGUGGUCAAAGAGGAAACAAAAGGAAAGAAAUUAGAUUCAGAGAUUUUUUUCCCUAAUUCCCAUUUCCCCUCUAUCCUUCUUUUUCUCCUAUCUAGUGUUAGGAGGAGAAACUGGUGGGAUAAAGGGUGGGAAAAAAGAACCCACAAAGUAGCAAAGACCAGCUACAAAUCCCAGUGGGAGGAGAAGGACCAGAGCCCCAAAUGAUCAUGGCCAAACUAAUUGAAACAAACAUUUAAUUAAAGCCAGAUUUUUUUUUUAUUCAUGUACACCGGCUGCCUCCCCUCAGACAGGGUUCAAAGAUCAGCAUUGGACCUGGGCAGGAUAAGGUUUUUAUAGCUCAGGGGUAGGGAGUUUCCAAGUGGAGGCAGUUACAUAGAUGAGGUUACAAAAGCAGGACAUAGGAAUAAUAAAUUGGUCAGAACAACUUUUUGAAACAAAGACAUGAUUGCAAGGCAGUCAUAAGGUAGCCACCACAGCUGGUGGUCAUAACAACCUUUGAACCACAGGCAUGGUUGAACUUUCCUGGAACAGUCAGUGCAGAACCGUUUGUAGUUAAGGUUACAGGUGGGGCAUAGCACAGUCCUUGAGAGAUUUAAUCAUAAACAAGAAAGGACCUAGUUUGUCUUUACUAUCAAGCCUCAGAUGGAGGCUGGCUGGUUUAUCAGCUGCAUGGGUCUGUAUUGGAGGUGAACUCAUCAUAGAUUCUUAUCUACUCUGUUAGUUGUGAUUGACUUAUCUCAUGUCUUUCUGAGUGAGGACUUUACUUGUAAUAGGUUGGGAAACAAUUAGUCUUCUCCAGCAGGGAUGAGCUUAGGGUACCUGUAAAAUGGAGGCAUAGUGUGUGUGUGUAUAUGUGUGUGUGUGUGUGUGUGUGUGUGUGUGCACGUGUGCAUGUGUGUGCAUGUUUGUGUUUUGGGCACUGAAAAUAACAAAACUAAAAAUUGAAGAAAACAUACCCAUUGUGAAUAGCCAGCCCUGGCACCUGGGACCAUAGUGAGGUUCCUUCCCAGGCUGCUGCUGAGGGCUAUGUCUGAGUUCAUGGCUACACAGUAGCAGGGGUCAGUGUCAACGUCUGUGGCACAUAUGACCACUAAAGAACAUGGGGACAUCCCUCAUCACCACAGUCACCUGGAACUAUGUGGAUCUUCAAGGGCUGUGCAGAACUAGCCCUGCCCCUCACUGGAUGUGGUACUCUGGAAAGCUGGCCCCAUCACUCACCCCUGGCAGCACUCAGGAGAGCAGGCCAUGUGCCUUGCCUAGACAUCACAGUGGAGCUGGCCCUGGUGGAAGGGGUUCCAGUAAGCUGGUUCCCAAGGACCUGAGAGAAGGAGAGAGUCCCUGCCAUUACUCUGCUGUGAGUGGCCUGGGUGGUGUGGGUUGUGGGGAGAUGUCCUCUGACCCCUUGCUGUUGGCCACCUGUGGCACUCAGGAAAGCUGAUCUCAGAGAUCAUGAGGGCGGGUGAGCUGGCCCCACUCCUUAACAACUGCAGCACUCAGGAGAGUGGGCCCUAUGUCUCACCGGGUAACAUUGUAGAGCUGGCUCUGGUCAAAGGGGUGUGGGUGAGCCAGCCCCCAGGGUAAGAGUGAGGAAGAGUUGGCCCUUCCAUUCUGCGGCUGUGAGGUGGUGUGAGUGCAGGGGUGAUUACUACCUCUACCCUGCAGUAGCUGGGAGAGCUGGCUCUGAAGGCAAGAGAGCAGGAGGGCUGGCUGUGACCCCUCACUGGUGUAGCACUUGGAAGAGCAGGCCUUCCACCUCGCACAGUGAAGCUGGCUCUGGAGGCAUGGGUGAGGGUGAGAACAGGAGAGCUGACCCUGUCUCCUGCUGAUGGAGGCACUGGGUAGUCCAGCCUGAGCAGUGCUGGAGAACUCACUCUGUGUGGAUAGGGGAGAACUGGGUCACUGACCAGCUUGAGUAGUAACUCAGGGCUCUAAGUUGACACCCCCCCCAAAUCUAUAUCAUCUACAGAUGUCUGGGAUGAGUGAAAGGGCCAGUCCUGCUGUUUCAAAGCUCCAUGACAGGGGGCAACAACAGGAUGACAGGGAGGAGUCCUUAUGAGGAUACAAUAUUGAUGGUAUCACAGAGAUCCCAAACCAGACUCAUUGUAAUGAACAUUUGCAAGUGAAGAUAUAUGGACUAUGAGGGCUACACUGUGGGACACACUAUAGAUUCUAUGAGGAGAUGUUUUCUCUGCUUUUUUGUCUAUGUGUUUUUUUAUUUUGGUAGAGAAGUUGUAAGGACAAAGGGCAGAUCUAAGGGGAUGGAGAGGUGAGUGGGACUGGGGUACAUGAUGUAAAAUUCACAAAGAAUCAAUAAAAAGUAAAAUAAAAAAGGAUGCAAAAAAGAAAAAAAAUCAAUCAAUCAAUCAAUCAGUCAAUCAAUCAAUCCUCUUCUAACCCAAGAAGUCAUCUCCACAAAAGUUAGACCUGAAGCUGGUUUAAUUACUAAAUGUAUGCUCUGGUCAAUGUGAGGACUUUAAGAGUGAUGGAGAUGUUCUCUCUCACUUAAGUGAGCAUACAACGGGGUUCCACACAAAGAGCUAGUAAACAACACAGGGUGGUGUCUUCCAGGACCUUUGUCUUGAGAACUGUCAGAACAAAAGCCAUAGGGAGGCCAGUUCAGAAUGUGUGCCAUUGGGUUAGAGAGGUCCUGAAGAACAAGCAAGCCGCUGUGCACCAGAACAGGUCCAAGAAGCAGGGCGCACAUGAGCUGUGGACCAGCGUCUUUGUAUGAGGAAGAGACCGGGUGUCAACAUGGGUGUUACCAGAAAUUUGAGGGAGUCUCCCAGAAUUAUCACAUGUGACUGGGGGAACCUGGGGUCACCUUUGAGGUUCUCAGUCUUGUAAAUAAAAGAAUUUAAGAGUACACUCACAGAGAAUUGAAGGCAAUUUUAUUACAGUUUCAAAGAAAAAAAUUCCCUAAACAGGCAAUUUCAGCAGUUGCCUGGAGGAAGAUAGAAAUAAAGAAAAUGUCAUGUCAUCAAUGCAAAAAAAAAAAAAGUCAUAUUCUCUCAUUUCUCUCAUGUAGGAGGUUGGGCUGUGCUGUUUGCCACACGUGUGGUUAAAUCUAACUGCACUUGGUGAUGGGUUGGCCAUUGUUAGUAGAAGGGAAACAGGCUUCUGUGUCUCGGUGACGGGGAGUUUCAGAGUGUGGAGCAGUGAUCUCCCACAACCAAACUCUUUUCCUUGCCUAGGGGCUGGGAGAUUUGAGCUAACUCUCCCUUUUUAUUUGUCUCUCAAAGACUCAGAAUUUCAGAACAAGUUACCCAGGUCAUAAAACUGACAAAAGAUCUAUUAGUUUUGAAGAAAUGUAUAUACAUUUAAGGGAGAAAAUUGGAUGCUUCAAAGUUUUCUGAAGGAAAUGAUCUAAGGAAAAGGACGAGGCUGUCUUGCUUUUCCUCUCCGGUUAUUUCCGCUCCCCCUCCCCCUCCCCCUUUGGAUUCCUACUUCUCCCUUCUCUCAUAGGGAUCUCAGUCUCUGCUGCCCCUUGCUGCUAUCAGGCUGUCUCCUCACAAAGCAUGCCACAUGUGGCUUCAGAUUUUCACCAGUGAUCCUCAGUGAAGUGGGGGAGAAUCUACUGUUUCUGUGUGAUCGAUUCCCAACCAGCGCUUCUGGGGUCAUGUGGUCAUUUCUUGUGUACCAGGGAAGAAUAAUUCCUGGGAAAGUCAGGGUCAUGUGACUUAAAAUUACUAAUGGUUCCAUUGAUGGGAAGAGAGGGUAACUGGGCUUAGUGAAGCAACUGUGAUCUACCACCAGUGUGCCUCUCUAGAUGUGGGCACUGCCUUAAAUAAGGCUUAGUGACCCCAGUGUGUAGCAAAUUAUCUAGGAUCCAGGGGACCUCCAGUGCAUGUUUGCUGACCAGAUGGAUUUGUACUCACUUGUUGCCCAAGUAGAGAGAACGUCCUUGGAACACUGGCUCCCAGAAGUACUAAAACCCAAGGAUGCACAAAAGAUAUUAGCAUAUAAAAGUAUAUGCCUCUGUAUAAAAUGGUAUAUUUGUAUAUAACCUACUCGCAUGCUUUUCUAUAUUACUUAGACUGCCCAAUGCAGUAUGACAGGGGAUGCACAUAUUCAGGUACCUUUGCUGGGAUGUGUGUGUGUGUGUGUGUGUGUGUGUGUGUGUGUGUGUGUAUUUUUGGUCCUCAGUUGGGUUCAUAUAUGUGGAACUCGCUGAUGGAGAUGUUGGGACUGAUCCUCUGUUGUUCUGAUGGCAGUAGAAAAGACACAAAGGAACAGAUUUUGGAAUCUACCAGUAAAUGAUAUUAGCACCAGAGAGAAUUCCUUAACUUUUAAGUCACUUAUUUAUGCAGCCAGCUGACCAUGAGUAGCACUCAGUAAGGUACUAUUUAGAAUGGUGACUGCCAAAUAACAAGCACUGCGACAAUGGGCCUUAGACAAAUAAAGGAAACUUGGAUGAGGCGGCAUUUUAAUUAGAUAAGUACAGAAUGUUAGACAUGAAAAGCUCUCAGGGAGAACUUUCCCUCAGGAUGGAGACCCUCCAACUCCAAAGACCAGACCGAGACACCACAGGAUGUAAUCAGCAAGAGGAUUUGGUUUAUUGUCGGGAUACACAGGCACAGGCACCUGCGGGCGCUUCAGUCACUCGGGGGACUGGCGCGCCCCACGGAACCAAGGAUGGGCUUUUAUAGGAUUUUGGGGAGCAGAAGCAAGCAUACAGAAGCAGAUGCAUGGUUACAGGGAUAUAAUUGGUGGAUUCUAAUAUGGCAAGGGUUUAGCCCGGGGGCAAGUUUCCUAGCUACCUUCCUGAAACAUAACGGCUGACUCGGCCCCCCAAGGGUUCAGCCCGGGGGCAAGUUUCUUAGCUACCUUCUUGGAACAUAACGACUGACUCGGCCCCCCACCAGGGUGUGGGACCUCUCCUGGGGCUUUUUUUCAUUGUCAGGUGCUCAACCGAAGUCGUCCUGUUGCCAGGCCUUCAACCAAACAUAUCUUGCUUGGCAGCCGCUGUGUACUCAGUGUUCUAACCUUUCCCUGAACCAGUCAUCUUAAGUACAGCCUUGCAAAAUGGCGUUACUGCUGCUAAGCUGGGGUCUUUCAGACAUGUUUUAUGUUUAUUGUGUUAGGUAGUUUUAUGUCAACAACAAAAGCGAUAGUCAUUUGAGAAGAGGGCUCUCACUUGAGAAAUGUCUCUAUAAGAUUAGCAAGUCUGUGGAGCAUUUUCUUUUCUUUUCUUUUUUUUCCCAGAGCUGAGGACCGAACCCAGGGCCUCACGCUUGCUAGACAAGCGCCCUACCACUGAGCUAAAUUCCUAACCCCAAAUUCAUUUUAUUUAUUUAAGUACACUGUAGCUGUCUUCAGACACACCAGAAGAGGAUCCCAUUGCAGAUGGUUGUGAGCCACCAUGUGGUUACUGGGAUUUGAACUUGGGACCUCUGGAAGAGUAGUUGGUGCUCUUAACCACUGAGCCAUCUCUCCAGCCCCUGCAUUUUCUUGAUUAGUAAUAAAUGUAGGAGGGCUGGGCCCACUGUGGGCAGUGUUAACCCUGGGUAGGUGAUUCUGAUCCUACCAGACAGGAACUGAGCAAGCUCUGAGGAGCAAGCCAGUAAGCUGCUAAGCCACCUCACUGUUUCCUAUUUCAUGUUUAAAGAACGAUCGCCUAAUUAUUUUGCAGGAACCAACUUCCAUCAGUCCUUGGACAGGAGUAAGUGCUAGCAUAUUUUUGGCAUUUUCUAUGUGUUCUCAUUAAGUAAUCUAAGGCAUAUAUUAUUUUACUGCAUGCCACAAUGUCCUACUGGAGUGCCCCUGAGCACAGAGGAUCUUGAUCUUGGUCUCCUGAGGAAGGAAGUAUGACCCACCCUCAUCCUCCUCCUCAGAAAGGGAGGUGUCUCUUUACAGUGCCACUUGGAUCUAAGAGGAACUCAAGCACACUUUGCAUUCUGCUCCGUAAUACCCUUGAGCUUGUAACAACUAACAACCAUCCCUACCCUCCCACAGAGAGAAUGAAAUGCAGGAAGUUCUCCUCAGAUGACACAGUGGCAGUUUAACUCUCUGUAAUUCUUCCUGUCACUCAUUAAGUAAUUAGAAGCAUUUUCUGGAACUCAUGGUAAUUUUAUUCAAGAAGGGCACAGUAGUUCACUCGGAGGAGAAGAAUCUGACUUUGGUCAGGAAAUAAUGAAGUCUGCUUUGCAUAAGAGCAGCUGCUAAUUCACUUUUUAAUCACUCUUUUUUUUUUUUUUUUUUUUUUGCUCCCAAAUAAUUUUAGGAACACUCAAGUUUUUUUGUGUGUGUUACCUGAGAACGUGGAAAGAUCAUAGGGUUGGCGAGAGAAAUACCAUUAUGUGCAAACCCGGGGCCCUCAGGAAACUUCUUCGCUUUGUGUUUUCACCCAUUCAGUGAGGAGCUUCACUGAGUGACCUCUGUAUUAGAGUUCUCUAGAGUCACAGAAUCUACACAAGGAAUCUCUGUUUACACAAAGGGAAUUUAUAGGAAUAACUUACAGGCUGCAGACCCACUAACCCAACAAUAACCAGCUGUGAAAGGAAAGCCCAAGACUCUAGUAGUUGAGCAGUCCCACGAACCUGGGAGAUUCAACUGGUCUUCUGUAUAAGCUGGAAUCCUGAAGAACUAGGCUCUAAUGGAUGUGCUGGCAAAGUAAGUAUAAGCAGGGGAAGAACUAAGAACACUUCCUCCUUCCAUUGUCCUUAUGUAGGCCUCCAGCAGAAGGUAUGGCCCAGAUUAAAGGUGUGCCUCAAGAUCUCUGUUACAGGUGUGUGCCAUCCCACCUCAAGAUCUGGAUCGAAAGCUUGUGUCUUCCAGCCUCAAGAUGUGGGUCACAGGUGAGCCUUCCAUUUCUGGAUUGUAGUUCAUUCCAGAUACAGUCAAGUUGAUAACAGAGAACAGCCAUCUCAACCUCUAAAUUUAAGUCACUACAUUCUUGAUUGCAGUAGAAAUAGCAUCAGCGGUCUGUUUGAACCAACCACACAAAUACCCGAUGAAAACAAUUGAGUUGGAGGAGAUAGAAUCUGACUAUGAGGUAUUUUUUCUUCCUUUGAGUGGCAAGGAUAUGUGUUUGAAUAAUAUUUAUCUUGUCAAUAAGUUUCUUAAAAUGAACAUUUGGGCAUCAUUUCUAAGUAUUUUAUGGAUUAAGAAUUAAUGAGACAUGGGGCUGUCUUAGGGCUUAUGAUUCAGUAGAGGAGAGAAAUGUGCACUCACACGUUCACAGUGGGUACAUACUUCAGAGGCCCAAGUACAGUGGGAGGCAGAGGAGGGCGUGGCUCUGUUUAGUGAUGCUGAGCUAGAUGGCGCAGUGAGGGAUGCAGGGACUGCUUUGGAGGAGACUUUCUCUGAAGAGAAGAAGAAUUAUUCUAGUCAGUUCCCUGACUGGAUCAGCGUACACAGGCGUAUAAUAAGAUGGUCCAUAGGUCUGAGGCUUGGACAUUUCCAUCAAAUUGUUUUCUCAUGAUGCAAGAGUAAAUAUUUCCUGCUAUGUUUAAACAUUUUACACUGAAUUUCUCUCUUCUCUCCAUCCUCUUCUGUCUGUUUUUAUUUUCUUUGACUUUAAAAAAUAUUUUGACUUCAAAAAUAUUUUGAAUACACAGAACUGAUACCUUAGGUAAACCCAUUGUUUAUGGGUCUGUCUCAGAGUUUUACUGCUGUGAACAGACCCCAUGACCAAGGCAACUCUUAUAAGGACAACAUUUAAUUGGGGCUGGCAUACAGUUCAGAGGUUCAGUCCAUUAUCAUCCUGGCAGGAAGCACAGCAGCAUCCAGGUAGACAUGGUGUUGGAGAAGGAGCUGAGAGUUCUACAUUUUGAUCAGAAGGCAUUUAUUUACAUGGAGACUCUUUCUUCUUCAGGUGGCCAGGAGGAGGGUCUAUUCUUCACUGGGGAGAGCUUGAUCACCAGGAUCCCUUAAAGCCCCUCUAUACAGUGACACAUUACCUCCACAAGGUCACAUGGCAGCAUCCAGGUAAAGAUCAAGUUUUCAAUGUAAAUUCAUGACAAGUUCCUACCGUCUGAUACUGAGGCAAGGAGAGUCUAGAAAAUAGACACACCCAAGAAAUGCCAGCAAUGGAACCCUGACUAAGACACAUCACAUACGCCAGAAACAAUGGCAUGAAUGACCAUGAACUAAAACUUCUAAAAUUGUGAGGUAAAUAAAUAUUCUGCAUUUAAUCUGUUUCUCCUCAGCAUUUGUCACAGAGCUGAAAAGUCUACAAAAUACAGUCUUCAAUAGGGGGUCUAGGGAGACAUUCGUAUUCAGACCAUAGCAGUCCUCAAGACAUGGUAAUCGUUCAUUGUCGUCAUGAUCACCAUCAUUGUUGCCAUCGUUGUCACCAUCACAAUCAUCACCAUCAUCAUCACUGUCAUUAUCACCAUCAUCAUCAACAUCCUCAUUACCAUCACCAUCACCACCACUGUCAUCAUCACUGUCAUUAUCACCAUCAUCAUCAACAUCCUCAUUACCAUCACCAUCAUUACCAUCACCAUCAUCACCAUCAUCAUCAUGCUGUGUCACGUAAGAGAAUAUGGAUGAUAGAGAAAGAUAUAUGCUUGCUGCUUUGCAUGCUUCGAGGUGUAGUAUUAGCUCACUGGGUUCAGGACAACACAGACUCAGAAAUAGUAAACAAGGAGCCUUUUACAUCAGGCUCGUAGCUCUGACUGUUGGGAUCUAGGGUGGAGAUGGUGUCUCCAGCUGUGGAUCGAACAAGGGACGUCCAAUACCCAAGUACCAAGUGCAAGAGAAACCCACUUGUCUGCUUUUUAGCAAACACUUGAGAAAUCUUUCUGCCCCUUAAAUUUAAAAGCUCCAAACUCAACACUGACAUCUGGGGACAGGAGAGAAGCAAGAAAGGCAAGUGUGGCUGCGGAGACUCAGAGGAAGAGCACAGCUCUGGAAGCGAGAUCACAGGGUCAACCAGUGUUCUGAGCACAUUUGAGCGGCAGCUCUGGGCCUCUGAUGCUCCUAGUAACUCACUGGAUUCUUAUCGGUCCAUGUGUGACAGGAAGCACUGUAAUUAGUUUUACUCACGAGGAUAAGGCACAGUGAUGCUUAGAUCUCACCGGUGGUUAUGGAGUUGGUGAAGAGCAGCUCCCAGAUUCUGAAUCUAGUUGGUCCAGAGGGAGUGGCCUAAAUUUUGUGUUACCAUCUUUAAGGCAUUUAGAACAGAAGUAACUGCCACUGACAAAACAGAAUUUUGGGGUGCUCACAGGAUUUGGAGGUACAGGGGAAGAGAGGGAUGAGAGAAACAGCAGAGGAAAGGAUUAGCAAAAAUGCUGGUAAGUGAACCUGAGAAUUGCAGGUAUGUGUUCUAGAAAGCAUAUCAAAUAGAACAUAAAUGACUAACAUGUUCUGAGUUGAAUAGACACUUUUGUAUAUAGAUAAAUGGAUUCUUGUAUUCCAAACAGUUGAAAAGAAACCUAUAUGUAAACUACAUAACAACGAAAAAUUUGAAUGGAAGGAAAAUAAAAUUUCAGGUAUUUGGAAAAUAAUAAUAGUAUCAAUAACUGAUUGAUUCAAACAUUCUUACCCGGAUCAAGGGAGAUGGCUCAAUUAGUAAAGUGCUUGCACAAGCAGGAGGAGCUGAAUUUGAACCCCAUAUAACACAAAACAAUGCAGUUGCAGCGAUAUAGGUCUGUGUAAUGCAAUCCAAGCACCAGGGAAUCAGAGACAGUGGAACACUGGGGAUUGCUGGAUAGCCAGUCUAGCUGAACCCGUGAGCCCCAGGCCUGUGAGAGAACUUGUUUCUAAACCAGGGAAGGGAGUGUCUGAGUAAGGUAUCUGAGGCCUUUGGCCUCUACACACACGUACAUGAACAAUGCACACGCAUAUUUCCCUGGAUCUUUGUCUGUCAGAAGACAAUUGAAUAGCAUUUAUAUGCCUGAGGAAGGGCUACGACAAGAAACUUAUGCUCGAGUAAGUUAUUUCACAUGAGGUGGGGUUAACGAGAAAAAAUAAUAGUCAUGUAUUCAAGAACUCAGAAAGCGUUUGCACCUCUAGCAGUAUUGGAAGACACACACCAACCACAAAUAGAUGGAGUAAAAAAUUAAGCUUUUUGUGAUAAUCAAAGAAACCAACCAUAAUUGUCAGAGAUACAGUGUGUAAAAUCAUUUAGAUCAGGACCGAAUGCUGAUAUUGGGGGAAAAAAUAGCUCAUUCACGCCCACAAGCUGAUAAGACCGUACAUCAUUUCCCAGUGGCUGUACACGGACUGUAUCCCCAAGAUGACUGCAUCUAUUCUGUUCUUCAUUUUCUUGAUUAUACCUUUAUACCUGUUCCUGUCGGGACCAUUUUUAAUGACUUCUAUGCAGGAACAGCUGUAGGACAAGCAUUUCCACAGAACCUCAAGAGUUCCCUUUGCGGAUUUUCCCAGGAAUGACUGGCCCUUCUUCAGCAAGCAUGAAGCUAGCUUCAUUAACCAGCGUCCUACUUAAGCAGGAAGAGGUCUAACGGUGCAUAGUGGGACAUAGAAAACAGACAGGUGGGUCAUCAAAACUGAUGCAAAUGUCAAAAUAGCUUUUCUGAAAAGAAAUAAGGCAACAAAAAUAGCAGUUGAAAACCAAGAAUGGAAGUCUAGACCAUCAGGAAAGUAAUAGUUUGUAAGUUACACUAAGUGUGGUUAAGCUCGGUGCACUCUAAAGAUAGUCAUGCCAAUUUUUAUAGAUAGAAAGUAUAAAUGUAAGUACGGUAGCUAUGCAGUCAGUGCUUCUAAAACACCAGGGGGAUCUAAUAAAGAUAUAGGAGUUAAUAAAAAUGGGGAACCCUCUCCAUUAAGAGAUUAAGACUUUCUGAUUGAACACCAAAUAUAAACUAAUUAUGUUUACAAAAGACACAUAUAAUUAAAAAUUGACUUAUUAAACUUGAAAGAAAA